CCCUUAGAUGUUCUGGGCCGCACGCGCGCUACACUGAUGAAUGCAACGAGCUCUACCCUUGACCGAAAGGCCCGGGUAAACUUGUGAAACUUCAUCGUGAUGGGGAUAGAUUAUUACAAUUAUUAAUCUUCAACGAGGAAUUCCUAGUAAGCGCGAGUCAUCAGCUCGCGUUGAUUACGUCCCUGCCCUUUGUACACACCGCCCGUCGCUCCUACCGAUUGAAUGGUCCGGUGAAAUCUUCGGAUUGCUGACCAAGAUCCAGCAAUGGAGCUUGGUUGCGAGAAGUUGAUUAAACCUUAUUAUUUAGAGGAAGGAGGAGCCGUAACA
rnacentral:rRNA from 1 species